GAUGAACGCUAGCGGCAGGCCUAAUACAUGCAAGUCGAGGGGUAAUUUUGCUUUCGGGCAGAAACGACCGGCGCACGGGUGCGUAACGCGUAUGCAACCUACCCACAACUGGGGGAUAGCCCGGAGAAAUCCGGAUUAAUACCCCAUAAUGCAGGGGUACUGCAUGGUACUAUUUGCUAAAGAUUUAUCGGUUGUGGAUGGGCAUGCGUCUGAUUAGUUAGUUGGUGAGGUAACGGCUCACCAAGGCGACGAUCAGUAGGGGGUCUGAGAGGAUGAUCCCCACACUGGUACUGAGAUACGGACCAGACUCCUACGGGAGGCAGCAGUAGGGAAUAUUGGUCAAUGGGCGGAAGCCUGAACCAGCCAUGCCGCGUGCAGGAUGACGGCCUUCUGGGUUGUAAACUGCUUUUAUCAGGGAAGAAAACGGCCAUGCGUGGCAGAUUGACGGUACCUGAAGAAUAAGCACCGGCUAACUCCGUG
rnacentral:rRNA from 1 species